ACACACACACAUCACAUAACCCAUACACACACACAAACACACAUCACACCACAUCACACACACACACAUUCAACACACACACAGACACACAUCACACACACAACACACACACAUAUCACUCCACACACACACAUACACAUCACACACACAAAUACAUCACUAAAAUCACGCACACGAUCACACAUCACAGCACACAUACACAUCACACACACACACACACAGCACAGCACAUCACAUAUGGCACGCAUACACAUAUAUCAAUACACACACACAUAUCACAUACACACACAUCACACCAAUCACCACAUCAACAAGACAAACACCACGCAUCACAUUCAUCACACGCACAUCACACACACAUAUAUACUCACCAUUCACACACAUCAUGCCACACCAGACCAUCAGCACACACACAUCACACACAUCAACACAACAUACACACAUAGCACACAUCCAUCACACACUACACACACACAUCACACAAACACACACAUCACAUUAUCACACACAUCACACACACACAAUCACACAUACACAUAUACAAAAUCACACACACGAGAGAUGCACACAACACGACACACACACACAUCACACACACACACACACAUCACCCACACAUCACACACAGACACAUCACACACACAUCACACACAAACACAAAAAGAGACACACACACACACACACAUCACACACACAGACACAUACACAUCACACAAACGUCACACAUACAUCACACAUACAUCACACACACACUCACACACACACACACACACAAUACACACACACACACAUCACAUAACCCAUACACACACACAAACACACAUCACACACAUCACAGACAUAUCACACACAUAUCACACACACACAUCACACACACACACAUCACACACACAUCACACACACACAUAUUACACACACAUCAGACACACAUCACACACAAACACACACACAUAUCACCCCCACACACACAUACAUACACAUCACACACAAAUACAUCACUAAAAUUACACACACAUCACACAUCACACACACAUCACACAUCACACACACACACACACACACACGCACGCACACACAUAUGGCACGCAUACACAUAUAUCAUAUCAAACACACACAUAUCACAUACACACACACAUCACACACACAUCACACACAUACACAGACAAACACACACGCAUCACAUUCAUCACACGCACAUCACACACACAUAUAUCACACACACAUCACACAUACAGAUACACAACACACACACAUCACACACACACACACAAACACACCCACACACAUAUAUCACACACACAC
rnacentral:lncRNA from 1 species